rnacentral:lncRNA from 1 species
CGACAGGAAUCUUUUUUGCUUUGUCUCUACUUUCGUCUGUGCUGACUUCAUUCUCAGGCAGAAGGUCCCCAUGUGGUGGAAGAGAUGCCGUUGGCACUUUCAGACUUAACCUCCUGUCAGCUGAGGAACAGUCUUUGCCCAAAUGAGACUCCUUGUGGGAGUCCCAGAGGUGUGACGGAGCGUGGGGCAUGCCGGGCCGAGGUUUGGUGCCAGCUGAUAGUAACCGACUCCAGCCAUCUCAAACAACAAGGGCACCCGUGGAGAUAUCUGACUUCCCAAAGGACACUCCCUUCCUCACCGUAGCUCCUGCUUCAGACUCCCAGGCCCUGGGAACAGGUUUGUGAUCAGCUAUGCCUAGCACAGGCCCUGCCGUCUGGGU